AGCGACAUCUGCUUGUUCCUUCUCCAUGCUUCAGCUAUGGUGAGGACACGUGCAUUGGCGGCGACCCUUGUCGGCGACGACUUUGGCGACCGGGGAGGGAGGUCAGAUGUUCUGGACGCUGGCAACCUGCAUGUGGAGGUUGGCGACGGUGGAGGCCUCAUGGAUCACAAUGGCCUCAGCGUUAGAGAAGGAUCCGAUGGGGGGCUACGCCAGCUUGAGAGCGGCAACAAACGCACACUGCAGGCCAGCGACAUCUGCUUGUUCCUUCUCCAUGCUUCAGCUAUGGUGAGGACACGUGCAUUGGCGGCGACCCUUGUCGGCGACGACUUUGGCGACCAGGUCGUCCCUCCCCUUCUAAGUGGUGGCAACAUCUUCCUUGGCACGUUGUGCAGCCUACUCUUGGGCACGAGCAGCGGCGGGCUCGGCCUCACUAGGGGUUGACGACGUCGGCGACAUGGAUCAUAAUGGCCACGAGAUCAUUAACGUCUCCUGAUAGAAAGCCUAUCGAUGUAUUAUAGGAGAUACGGUGUUACACAUAUAUAGGCAAGGAUAGUCGAGGGUUUAUAGAAACAGAACCAAUCAAAGGAGAUCCUUGCCUAAUAGAGAUCAAUCUAUCUAUCAACGGAGAUCCUUGCCUAAUAGAGACCGGUCUAUCUAUCCUAGCCAUACAGGCAGGAUUCUAAUACCAAUCAAUGGAGAUCCUUGCCUAAUAGAGAUUGAUCCAUCUAUCAACGGAGAUCUAACAUGACCACUUGACCAGAGAUGAGACAAAAAACUAAAUUCCAAUCAGGUGAGGUAUCAUCUAGUGCAGUAGCCAUUUUAGAUGUGCAAUUAACCAAAGAGUUUAUGCCAGAUGGUGGUGGGGUAGUAUUGCUUGUUAUUAUAAUCUGUCAAGUUUCCUGUCAAAUAGUAUGCCAGCUCUUUAAUAUCCUUUAUUCCUUUAACAUGUCGAUUUUUCACC
rnacentral:misc_RNA from 1 species